CUGAAGCCUACUCCUGUAGCAAGUAGCCAAGUUUCAGCCAAUCACAGGCAGCCAGCUGUUUAAGCUCGGUUCCGAGUCUACCACCAGCCAACAAUUCCAGUGUGUACAGGUAGGUUUCUGCUGUGAUCUUCACAUCGACACACACUGCGGUGGCUUUGAGAUCCUAGUCUCCAUCAGUGACACUGAGCAGGAGCAAUAACAACAGCAGUGGAGGGAGAUCUUGGCUACUGUGAGAAAAAUAUUGAAGUCCUACACGUGCCUCUACAACCCAAAAUGAC